GACGUAGGAGGCGAGCGUUGUCCGGAUUCAUUGGGCGUAAAGAGCGCGCAGGCGGCUUGGUAAGUCGGAUGUGAAAUCCCGAGGCUCAACCUCGGGUCUGCAUCCGAUACUGCCCGGCUAGAGGUAGGUAGGGGAGAUCGGAAUUCCUGGUGUAGCGGUGAAAUGCGCAGAUAUCAGGAGGAACACCGGUGGCGAAGGCGGAUCUCUGGGCCUUACCUGACGCUCAGGUGCGAAAGCUAGGGGAGCGAACUGG
rnacentral:rRNA from 1 species